CCUACGGGUGGCAGCAGUGAGGAAUAUUGGUCAAUGGGCUUACGCCUGAACCAGCCAAGUCGCGUGAGGGAAGACUGCCCUAUGGGUUGUAAACCUCUUUUGUCAGGGAGCAACGCCGGCUACGUGUAGCCGGACUGAGAGUACCUGAAGAAAAAGCAUCGGCUAACUCCGUGCCAGCAGGCGCGGUAAUACGGGGGAUGCGAGCGUUAUCCGGAUUUAUUGGGUUAAAAGGGUGCGUAGGCGGAAUGCCAAGUCAGCGGUAAAAUGGCGGGGCUCAACCUCGCUCUGCCGUUGAAACUGGCGUUCUUGAGUGGGGGAGAGGCAGGCGGAAUGCGUGGUGUAGCGGUGGAAUGCGUAGAUAUCACGCAGAACACCGGUUGCGAAGGCAGCAUACCGGCGCCCAACUGACGCUGAAGCACGAAAGCGUGGGGAGCGAACAGGAUUAGAUACCCUUGUAGUC
rnacentral:rRNA from 1 species